AGGCAAUUGACCUGUUUGACCAGAAGGGGUGGAGCCUGGCUGCACCUCUCCUAGACCUCAUUUAAGGGCUGACUGGCACUGAGGAAGGAUCUUUUUCUGGAGAUUGCUCCUCUUGGAGUUUUUUUCUGUGAGCCUAGGACACAGGUGGUAGGGAUCAAGCACAUACAUACAUCCAUGAGCACUCUGUAUUCAAAAAAACAGAGCCAAAAAACAUUCAUCAUGUUGAUAUCAUUGCUGCUAGCACCCACCAGAGGAAGAGCAAGUGACCCUGCAAGAAGAAAAAUUACAUUCUCCUGACAAAGCCUGAAUUUAAGCCUGCUUUACACAGAAUGUGAAGCCAGAUUUUCAGAAGAGGCCAACCCAAGAACAAACUACAUUACCAGAAUGAAAAAACACCACUAUACACAGAUCUGGAAAGAGUGAAAAGUGCCUCAAACCCCUAAGGAAAAGGGAAGGACAAGGUUGACAAAACUCCUAACUGGAAAGGAGCUUUAUCCCAGGAAAGAGGAACUAUACAACACCAUCCCCAGUGGGCUGAGUUGACUUCAUAGUAUCUGGGUGAACAGAAGUUAUUCAGUGCAAACUCUCUCCUUUCUGCCCUAAAGCAGCUGACAUACUAAUGCAGAAAAGUUUUCAACAGCAGAUGUAUUUUAUAUGAUGCAAACUGAAUAAGAACACAGACCAAAUACACCAGUGCCAGUCAUUUUCCUAAGGGCUGUUGGAGUGUAUGGACAACACACCUGAGAGAAGGAAGAGUUCAGCUUGAGGUACUCUGAUGAGGCAAAUGGAGCAAUGGAAUAUCUCAACAGAGGAGGAUGUAUGGGAACUGUUGAGUCAUGGCCUGAACCACUGAAUGAUCACCUGAGGCAAGUGCUGAGUCAGCUGCAGGAGCACAGGUGAAGGCAAUUCACCUAUGUGACCAGAAGGGGUGGAGCCUGGCUGCACCUCUCCCAUUUAAGGGCUGACUGUCACUGAAAAAGGAUCUCUUUCUGGUGAUUACUCCCUUUCGAGUUCUCCUGGGAGCCUAGGACAUGGAUAAGGCAGCAGUGUGAAGCCCAGUGUGGAUAGUGUUCCAUGGAUAAAGACCGCUGGUUGAGCUGGUGCCUUUAUUGCUGGGCAUUUUGUGUUUUUGGUGACAAGUGCCUGGGACAGGCUGCUGGUGGGGAGAGAGAGAGAAAGCUGCAUGCUCCAGUUCUGGAGCUCUCAGUUUAAGAACUUCCUGAACUGAAGCUUACAGAUCCAGAGGCAGAAAUGAAAAAGGUACAGAUAAAGAGGAUGCCCAUGUAGAAAUUUCAGUCACCUACACUGCUCAAAGGAGGAGAACCACAGCUGGUGAUUGCUUGAGGCAAUCUGGCACACCUGUAAUGGGGCAGCACAGAAAACGUUUCUGCGUGGGAGAUUCUCUGCCAGAUCAUUCCGGAUAUAAGCUGCACAGUAUUUACUCUGGAGGAGCUAGUAAUGGCCUGGGGAGCAAGUGCAAUUUGUUUGCUUUUCUGAGUCAAGUGCCAAUGUCAGAAACGUCUGAGAUAAGCUGUAGGAGACAGAAUCUCUAGUGAAGAAGUUUUAAUUCACCACUGCAUUGUGGACAUCCUGCCAACGGGAGCACACCUAUAGAAACAAAAUGACAACUUUUGAACCUUGUGUCCGCCAAACUUACCCCCUCCCUUGUUUUCCCACUGGCUCGGUAGUCCAGUUUCACAAUCUUAAGAAGUUUCGCAUUUGUUAAUUACAUUCUGACACUUGUUAAUUCAUAGCCAAUCUCGUUGCUAGCUGAUAGCCAUCCUGCUGUUUCCAAGAGGUCUCAGUCACCAUCUUGUCGUUUCCAAGAUGUCUCAGUCCUCUUCUUAUUGUGUUGACAUGGUGAUUCUCUCCAAGGCCUCUUUAGUUAAACAAAGAGCACCGGAGGUGGGGUGUUUGUCUUACAUCAGUCUUCUUGAAUUUUGAUAAUGUUUUGCCAACACUACUUCUCAAAGUAAGUCUGAACUGUAAGACUUUCUCAGAAAGAUAAAGCAAUAUUUGUUUUAAAUAUGGAAAUUUUAAAUUCUGAAGUUAUGUGCAUAAUCCAUGACUGUUGAUGUAAGAACUGCCUUUUGUUAGUUUUCUUUAAGAAAAUCCUAACUACCCCCUGAUUAGUCUGUACAUUCCCCAGAGUUAAAAGCAGUGUUUUUCAGAAGCUGCUGGUGUGCGUUUUAACUGUCCCACCUCUACACAAUCUUUGAAAGAGCUUGUGUUAUGAUCUGAAGAGGGAAAAUUAAACAGAUGAAAGAAAAUAAAUUGUAGUAAUGAGACAUUAAAGAAGAACAUGAUAAAUCAGGUUUUUUUAUAAGUAUUUCUAUACUUUCUGAAGGAGAGCCGAGUAAUAAUUAUUGGACAACAUCUCUUGCAAGAAUCUGAGUUCAAAAUGGACUGCUACACCACAAACAUUUAUGUCCAACAGAACUUUUCGUUCUGAGCAAGAACAAAUACAACAGUUUGAAGCUCUGGCUAAAUACUCAAGCAAGAAAAAUCUUUCUUCUCUGUAAAUUUUCAUGAUUUAAGAUGACAAAGUAAUUUCCUCAUCUACUGUUCUGUUUGAUUACUCGCUGGUUUGAUGAUUUGGACCUGUUCAUAACAUCUUACUUAUGACCUUGCUUUUUGUCAUUGAAAAAAGCCCUUUCUUUAAUUAGCUUCCAGGAUAUUUGUAGCAGCUUGGCUUAUGCUAAUUUGUGUGUUUGUU
ensembl:lncRNA